GUUUUAAUAGUUUAACAAAAACAUUGGUCUUGUAAAUCAAAAAUAAAAAAUUAUUUUUUUAAAACU
rnacentral:tRNA from 1 species